UCUACAACUGUUUGCGAAAGAUAUAAACAUAGAUUGUUUAUACAUUAAACUUUACACACAUUUCCCCAGAAUCGAGUAACCUUCACUUAUACACAAUCAUGAACUAUCUAGCACAUGACAAUACUAUUCUUCAACAUACUUUACAACUUAACUUCACAUUCUAUCCCAAGCUGAACUUGGCAUUAUCCUUUUCCUGUAUCUGGCCGUAUUCGCC
rnacentral:lncRNA from 1 species